CUGCGUAGAGCUCUCUUGUGAUCCGCAAGAAGCAGCGCCGCCGCCGGAGCUUUGCCGGUCUUAGCCCUUGCUCGAAGCUUUAGACCUCUCGCCCAAGUUUGCCUCUUCCCGACCCCGAGCUUUCCUUUCAGGAAGAAGGUGAGUUGCCGACCCUAAGUCCGCCUCGCCCGACCCCUCCUAUCCGCCCGACCCCGGUUCCGCCUCGUCCGACCCUGUCUGUUCCGCCGACCCUUAUCCGCCUCGCCCGAGGGCUUGGCUAUGAUCUUUUUCUUCAACUCGAGGGUGUAUGUGUAAAACUUGGGAACCCUUCAGCGCUUGCGUCUGAGGAUCCCAGUUAUCACAUCCUCUAGUUCAAGGAUCAGACCACUAGUUCCUUCCUACCCUUACCUCUUGAUCAUCAUCAGCUCUCUC
rnacentral:lncRNA from 1 species